rnacentral:rRNA from 1 species
AGUGAACGCUGGCGGUAGGCCUAACACAUGCAAGUCGAACGGCAGCACAGGAGAGCUUGCUCUCUGGGUGGCGAGUGGCGGACGGGUGAGGAAUACAUCGGAAUCUACUCUGUCGUGAGGGAUAACGUAGGGAAACUUACGCUAAUACCGCAUACGACCUACGGGUGAAAGCAGGGGACCUUCGGGCCUUGCGCGAUUGAAUGAGCCGAUGUCGGAUUAGCUAGUUGGCGGGGUAAAGGCCCACCAAGGCGACGAUCCGUAGCUGGUCUGAGAGGAUGGUCAGCCAGACUGGAACUGAGACACGGUCCAGACUCCUACGGGAGGCAGAAGUGGGGAAUAUUGGACAAUGGGCGCAAGCCUGAUCCAGCCAUACCGCGUGGGUGAAGAAGGCCUUCAGGUUGUAAAGCCCUUUUGUUGGGAAAGAAAUCCAGCUGGCUAAUACCCGGUUGGGAUGACGGUACCCAAAGAAUAAGCACCGGCUAACUUCGUGCCAGCAGCCGCCGUAA